CGGGGGAGUGGUGUCAGACGGCGUGUGCACAGCCCAGGAGACAGGGAUACUCUUGUAGCGGAAAAGGCCCUCAAAGUGGUUGGGGCAGCUGGCGGACACGUUGAGGACGGCGGUGAUGCCACACGCCUGCAGCCCCUGCAGGUCUGACGAAUGACUGCAGCUGCCCAGGAACAGAAUUUUCCUCUUAGAAAUUUGUCACCGCAAACAUUGACAAAUGCCUGCUGCCACGGGUGAGUUCUACACUGGAUGAUGGGGAGGUCCCUGCUGAGAUGUCCUGUUGCUCAUAUAUUUGGAGACCUUGGGCCAGAGGGACUUUCUCUCUCCCCCUCCCCACCCCCCAUUGCCUGGAUGAGACCAGCACUCAGCGUCUUGCAGUAGGUUGGUGGCCAAGCUAGGCCCGAACACAGUCCCCGGGACCCAGGCCCCUGGGCUUGGGCCGAAGGAAAUGAGGGGGUCCUGGGGCCUUUCGUGGGGAAAGUAGGGGUCUGAGACCGGCUUCCAGUUAAGAGUGGGGCAAAGCUUCUUCCUCCUGGGCGCAGGGAAAGCCCCCAGGCCCCGGAGAGAAGCACUUCCCGCUGUCACAAGCCCGCCCUGGAGGGAAGUCCGCUGACGCUCCUAGCCCUCCCCAGGCCUGCGGGGAUUUCAGGACCUUGGCAAGGGGAAGAGGGAGAAGCAGAACAGAACUGGCCUCCCCCAUCCUAGGCCUCCCUGUCCAGCCCCCCUGGGCAGCAAAGUCCAGGGCUAGCACUGCACCCGGAGGACUGGGGGCCUGGGUGUCCCCUCCAUCCUGCCCUCCCCCAGCCCUGCUGCCGGAUGUGGUGAGGCCCAGGUGUGCGUGGGGUGUCUGAGCCACAAGAAUUGUUGGCAGUGAACUCCCAAACUCAAGCAGAGAAGUUCAGGUGGGUGGAGACAGUGUUACUGAACUGGAGCUGCCCUCGCCCUGCCCCCAGCUGCGUGGGAUUUCAGAACCCACCCUCCAAGCCCCCAGUCUCCUGAGGCCCUCCUCCACCUCCUCUGAAAGACCCUUCCAGUUCUCCGGCAGACCCCUGUGUCCACGCCAUCUUAAAGAGUGACAGCUGGGACCUGCGUGGAGCCCCCAGCCCUUCUGGACUCGUCUGCUCUGAGCUCCUCACAGCAGUGUGCUGUGUGCCUGGCUGUGUGCACGGGAGCGUGGUACCUGUGCAGUUCCACUACGUGUGAGAAGGACCUGGAGCUUGUGUGUGCUGGGGUCAGAGCAGAUGCAGAGGAGAAAACCCCAAGGACUCCAAAGGUCCCUGGGGCCACGUCACCGUCUCAGUGUCUCCAUCUGUAAGGGGGAGCACAUCAUGGCGCAGCGGCCCUUCCACACUGGUUCCAAGGCUCUAAGGCUACCCCACUGUCUGCGCAAUUGGCUGAGGCCCUGCCCUCCCUGGCAAGCCAGUCUGGAGGCUGAGGUGGCAAAGUCCACAACAGAGCCGGGGAGUCUGGGCCACAGAUCCCAGAGGCUGAUAGGAGCCCUUAUCAUUGGCAUCGGCCUCCAAAUGACUUAAUGCUGAUUCCAGGGGCAAAUUACAGAGCGUGCAGGACAAUCAGGUCCAGUCUUGCUUCUGGGCUGGGAGCCACAGCCUUCCAGCUCCGUGAGAGGACCCCAGCCAGGUGGGAUCCCUGAUUCAGAAGUGAACUCAGCUCAGCCGUGUAAGGGGCUCCAGACCCCAACUCCUAUGCUGAGCUGGGCCUCUUCCCCUCCUGGAGAACCCGGUAUACCUUGCCGGGGAGUUCCACGUGUGGGGAGAGCAUUGCUGAAGGUUUGCUCUGAUAGCGCAGUCCCUGGGACCUGGCACUCCUGGCCACGACCAGUGGUCUCUUUUUCUUUUUAAGUGACAGGAUCUUGUUAUGUUGCCUACACUGGCCUCAAACUCCUGAGCUCAAAUGAUCCUCCUGCCUCAGCCUCCAGAGUAGCUGGGACUAUAGGCACCUGCCACCACCCAGCUCAGGACUGGUGAUGGCUGCCUAACGUGGCUGCACCUGUGUCACCCCCUUGAGGCCAUUUGCCUUGGGGCUGUCCCCUUUUCAGCUCUGGAACGUGGACUCACGGAGGCCCAGCUUAGCCACGAAGGAGGGCCUUCCUUUACCUUCUUUCCCUACUCCCAAACUGGGGAAAACCCCACCCCCAAUUACUGGGUGAAAGCCCAGGGCUGGGGUAAGAAGAGGGGGAGAGACUCACAAACCCAUGUCCCUCUCCCGCUUUUGCUCUGACAAAAGCCCCCCAAGCCUUGGGUGCUGCCGCUGGCGAUCAUGUGCAGGACGCCUGCUCCUCUCCACCACCCCCUCAGAGUCUCCCCAACCACCGUUCGCCAGAGCCCAGCCUUGGGAGCCACAGCAGAGAGGAGGCAGGGCAUUGGGUGUAAGGGUGAGGACGCGGUGAGGAGGGGUCUCUGCUAGGCUGGAUGCCCCGCGGCCUGAAGGCUCUGGAAGCAGGACCCGGUCCUCGCCACCGGAUGGAAAGGGGCUGACCCAGGUUGGGAGUCCCUGCUCAGAGCUCUCUCUGUUUUUGUUUUUCUCGGCCUGGCUCUUACAGAGCAGACACUGUCAAGUAAGUUUGGACUCAGCACUUUUUUAAAAAUUGAAAACCUGUGAGACUCACCAGGAACAAAUGAU